rnacentral:rRNA from 1 species
UACGGAGGAUGCGAGCGUUAUCCGGAUUUAUUGGGUUUAAAGGGUGCGCAGGCGGAGGUGCAAGUCAGCGGUCAAAUUGCGGGGCUCAACCCCGUACUGCCGUUGAAACUGCAUCCCUUGAGUGCGCGAGAAGUAUGCGGAAUUCCUGGUGUAGCGGUGAAAUGCGUAGAUAUUAGGAGGAACACCAGUGGCGAAGGCGGCUUACUGGACUGUAACUGACGUUGAGGCUCGAAAGCGUGGGGAGCAAACAGG